rnacentral:rRNA from 1 species
AGAACGAACGCUGGCGGCGUGCCUGACACAUGCAAGUCGAACGAGAAACCGGUCUUCGGACCGGGAGUACAGUGGCGCACGGGUGAGUAACGCGUGAGUAACCUACCCUCAUGCCUGGAAUAACGUUGGGAAACUGGCGCUAAUACCAGAUGAGGUCCGGAGCCGCAAGGUAUCCGGACCAAAGCAGGCCUAUGGUUUACUAUGCUUGCGCAAGGGGAUGGGCUCGCGUCCCAUUAGCUAGUUGGCAGGGUAAUGGCCUACCAAGGCGACGAUGGGUAGCCGGCCUGAGAGGGUGUCCGGCCACACUGGAACUGAAACACGGUCCAGACUCCUACGGGAGGCAGCAGUGAGGAAUUUUGCGCAAUGGGCGAAAGCCUGACGCAGCGACGCCGCGUGGGCGAUGAAGC